CUGGCAGAGCGCGGUCUUUAGGGCUUGUAGCUCAGUUGGUUAGAGCGCGCGCUUGAUAAGCGUGAGGUCGGAGGUUCAAGUCCUCCCAGGCCCACCAUCUCCUUGAUGUCUGCCAUCUUCUUGGUGGUUCUAUCAGGAACACAAUCAGGGGCCGUAGCUCAGCUGGGAGAGCGCCUGCUUUGCAAGCAGGAUGUCGUCGGUUCGAUCCCGUCCGGCUCCACCAUCUUCCCUGGAAGAGGUGUCGAGUAGAGAUGUGGUGAAAAAAGUCAUUCGUAUAAAGGUUUGUGGUGAGCUUCUUGGCUUGCCGCUUGUUCUGUUUGACAUCGUAAAGAGAAGAUUUGUUCGAACUUCAUGGGCUGAAAGGCUUCAUGAUUUGUCGCAAGGGACGCUCAAUCCCUUGCAUAUGAUGGGUUUGCCUAACCGCGCCCUCGAACCGAUCUCGAGAAGCUGGUCUUUUUGUGCCAAUGACAUCGAAUUGGAUCCCGCACAGGAU
rnacentral:tRNA from 1 species